CGAGUGGAUCGGCCGGCAGUCGGCCUGGUCGUUCGUGGUGACCACCGAGCCCGCGUUCUGGGCCCCGAUGUUCGACUACCUGGCGUUCGCC
rnacentral:tRNA from 1 species